UGGUUUCCUGUUGGGCGGUGUUGAUGGCAUAGCGGAACUCUGGCAGCCACUGGUCCCAGGUCUGAUGUUGUUGACCCACAAAAGCAGCAAUCAUUGUCUUUAUGGUUCGGUUAAAUCUCUCAGUUAGAUUUGACUGUGGCUGGUAGCUUGUUGUUAAUUUUUGAACACAACCCCAUGUCUUGCACAGAUCGCCCAGAAGGCUGGAAGUGAAUUGGGGCCCCCUAUCAGACACCAGGUAUUUGGGCACCCCCCAUCGGGUAAAUAUCUCCUCCCUGAGUAUUUUCACUAUUCUCUGGGUCUUGCCGUCUCUCAAUGGGAACAUUUCCACCCACUUAGUGAAAUAAUCCACAAUGACAAGGAGGUAAGUGUUCUGUUUUUUACUGCUUGGAAAUGGUCACAUUAGGUCCACCCCUAGCAUGUAUCCCGGUUCCGUGAUCGGAGAACUCUGCAUAAAUCCAGACAGUUUUGUAUUGCUGGGUUUAUAUUUCUGGCAUACCUCACAGCCUUUGACAUACUGCCACACAUCCUUCCUGACGGAUGGCCACCAUGCCACAUCCAGGAAUUUUAGCAGGGUUUUCAACUGUCCCAGAUGGCCACCUAGGGGAUUAUCAUGGUAAUAAUGCAUGAAGUCAGUGGUUAACGAGGAUGGUACUACCAACUGAUACUUCUCUCCCUUAUUCCUUAAAGGAACCUUGCGGUACCACACCCCCUGGUGGUCUUCAAAGGUGAUGGGUUGUUCCUUGACUGAUCGAGGUUUGAUGCCAGACUGCAGGUGAGUGAUAGUAUUGUCCAAACGUUGUGCUUGAGCGAUUUCUUCCAGCAAGUGGGGUAAAGUGGACGAAUGUUGCGAUGACAUGGAAAGACAUGGGGCAUCAUCAGUAGAAAGUGGCUCCUGGACCCGGGAUAAAGCGUCAGGUCCCACGUUAAGGCAGCCCUUUCGGUGAAUUGUUGCAGGCGGAGUGUCCAGCGGGUUAGUCGGGAGGAGGUUUUAGGGCAGUUGAAUGCCCAGGAGAGUGCUGAGUGGUCCGUGAAAACCUCAAAAGGACAUCCCUCCAGGUAAUGCCUCCACUUUUCAACAGCCCACACCACUGCUAAACAUUCCUUUUCAGAAGUGCUGUAAUUCUUCUCGGCCCCUGUUAAGGUCCGUGAUGCAUACGCCACCACUUGUUCUCCUUCAUCCGAGUGUUGAGUGAGGAUGGCGCCCAGUCCCACAUCACUCGCAUCCGUGUGAACCUGGAAGGUUUUGUUGAGGUUAGGUUGUAUCAACACAGGUGAGUUCUGUAAUCUUUGUUUAAGAGCAUCCAUACUAGCCUGACACUCUGGAGUCCAUUCCCACCUUACUCCUUUCUUUUUAAGGUGGUUCAAGGGAGCAGAUAUGUCAGCGAAGUGGGGAAUGAACUUAUGAUACCACCCUGCCAGGCCCAAAAACCUCUGAAGGGCUUUGAGAUCUUGUGGAGGGGGAAACUCAUCAACGGCCCUGGUCUUUUCUCGAUCAAUCUCCACACCCCUCUCAGAGACAAUAUGGCCUAGAAAUUUGAGCUGGCGUUUGAAGAAGUGGCAUUUCUUCAUGUUCAGCAUCAAGUUGGCUUGGGUAAGUUUAUGUAGAACCAUGCUGAUAUCUUGAAUGUGUUGAUCUUGUGACUUUGAAUAUAUGAUGAUGUCAUCGAUGUAGACAAAACAUAACUUCCCCCUCAAAUCAGAUAGCACCCUCUCCAUCAAACACUGGAAGGUGGCAGCGGCAUUUCUGAGUCCAUACGGCAUAGACUUGAAUUGAAAUAAUCCUUUGGUGGUGAUAAAAGCGGUCUUCUCUCGACUCAACUCCUCCAUCUCCACCUGCCAGUACCCCGACUGUAAAUCCAACGAACUAAACCAAGAUGCACCUUCAAGGGACUCAAGGAUGUCAUGAAUCAAGGGCAUUGGGUAAGCGUCAGGUACAGUCUUGCUGUUUAGCUUCCUAUAGUCCACACAAAACCUAUAUGAUCCAUCAGGUUUGGGGACUAGGACCACCGGGGAUGACCAAGGUGAGAAGGAUGGCUCAAUAAUGCCGUCCUGCAGCAUCUUAUCAACAUGCUCCUCUAUGACCUGUUUCUUUAGAGGAGACACUCUAUAUGCUCGGGAUUUGAUGGGUAUGUCGUCCAUUAAUGUUAUCUUGUGUUGAACCACUGAUGUCCUACCCAGGGUGUUAGAGGUGGUGAGUGGCCAAGUGGAUAUCAAUUUCAUCAUCUCCUCCUGAUUGUCUGAAUCCCACUGAGUGAUCUGGGGUUUGAAUGACGUGAGCUCAGGAAGAGUGUCAGCUGGUGGUAAGGUGUAGUAUAGAUUCAGCUUUGCUGCCGUAAGAGAAUGAGCCUGUCCUGUAGAGGUAACUGGACCUGUUGGUAUCAGUGAAGGCAAGAAAGGGUAAUAUGUGUAUCCUCUUUCAGAUUUUAACCCAUACCUGCGUUGUCCGACCUCCAAGACAGCACCUGUGGCACUCAGGAAAUCCAGACCAGCAAUAAGAGGAAAGGCGAGGUCUCUGGAUUGGUGAAUUGUGCCAUCCGCCAUAAUAAAUCUCUGAGGACUGGAGUUAACAACCGCUGGUGUCUCCCCCUUCAACUGUUUCCACAGGUUCUCUUGCAUUAAUGUGUAAGUGCUUCCUGUGUCCAGAACCGCCCUCACUUCUCUGCCAUUCACCCUUAUAGGCACAACAAGGAGAGAAGACCCCGGAUGGGGUUGGGCUAGGUUUACUCCGGCCAGGUUUUUGUUGAAGGUACGUUCUCCAGUUUUUUUGUAUGGCUUCUCUUUGCUGCUCUGAGUGCUGACUUUUUGCCAGUAGUCUUUGGCUCCCAUGCAGUCCUUCUCCACUCUUGACCCCACCUUCACCAGUUGCUCCACUGAGUGAACUGUCCCUCUCAGGCAUCCUGCGACCCUGGGGUUGAUGUUGUUCAAGAUGCGGUUCACCAGUUCCUCCUCCAAGAUCUCUGGCUUCCAUUUAAGACAGAGGGCCCGGUAGUCAUAAGCAAAGUCCCUCAGGCGUUGUUGUGGCUGCUGAACCAGGGUCCUCAGCUUUUCCUCCACUUCAGAGAGCUCAGAGCGGGUCCCUUCAGGACCGUACUUAAGGUUCCAAUAAGCUCAACACAAGGAAGGGGCCUGAUCUCCAGGAAGUUCUCACAUUGCUCUAUGAAGUUUAGCACCUCCGAGGUCUCACAGGAGUCGCCAAAAGAGGGGAACUCAAUGCGGAUGGGAGGUUGAGCACAGAAUGAGGAAGCACCAACCCCUACUGAAGAAGAGGUAAGCACAUUUUGACGAUUAGUAUGCACAGGGGGGGGAAUGUCAUAUGUAUCAUCAAGAGGUUUAAAAGCUGGAAUUUUCUCCCUAGAUACUGGAACUGGGGUCUGAGGAUGACGUACAGCCGAAAAGCGUGAGGCAUCCGGAGAGUAGGCCUGUAAUCUGGAGAGUGUGGGAGUGCUAGUCAGUCUCAAUUUCCUCAUUUGACUUUCCCAUUUAUGGUCUCUCCUAAGAAAACAAUUUGUUACAGCCUUUUCUAAUUUUUCCAGUGCCUUCAUAAAAUAAUCCUCCAACCCUGCCAAGCUAGAAUCCACAGCCUGCCUGAAGUUGGUUUCCCUAUUCAAUGUGCUGUCCAUUGACUGUUUAAAAUCUUUGUCUAAAGUGAGUACUUUUUGGUUAAGGGCCAAUAAAUCCACUUUACAUUGUGCCAGGUCUGUGUGUAAUGAUUGUGCCAUAUCAACAUUCCUUAUACCAUUAUCAUCCUCAUCAUCAUCAGACUGUUCAGAAUCAGAAAUGUACAGUGAACUAAUCAUAGACGUUAUUUCUGCAGCUGGAUUACGCCUUGUCACAAAUGGGCCUGCAGUAAAAUCCAUACCACUUGGUUCAUUCUCAUUUUGUACAAUUCCAUGUGUAACAGUGUCAUCAGUUUGCUCAACAUGAACUUCAACAACUGCUUCAGUAUUUGUCCUAUCCAUAAUGCCAGUUGAAAGAAAAAGAAAGAAAGAAAAAAAAAAACAAACACCUUAAUCAGGAAAAAUCCCUGUACGGGCCACCAAUAUGUAACACUCAGCCUAUAUAAGGCAGUUUACACAACGUCAACCGGUUCUUAAUCCCUUUCUUUUAAACGUGUUUGAAUAAAAUACUCCACAAAAUAAACAGAAUAAAUGUCAAACCCAAGUGUAUUAUACAAGAAACAACAAUAUACCA